rnacentral:lncRNA from 1 species
GGAAAUUUAAAAAAAAAGAGUUGAAGAAAACUCCUUCUCCAAAGAAGCAAAAAACUAAAAAGCGGUAUGAGAAGAAAAGGAAAUCUAAAGAAAUUGAAGAUGAUGUUGACAAAUCUUAUGAUGAAUCUGAAGAAGAAAGUGAGGAAGAGGUAUUUUUUUUGUUUGUAAAUGUAUUUUUUAUAUUAGGUUCAAGUAAUUAAUAUGUAUUUUCUGUUAUGAUGAUAUUUAG